AAGGAUUCCCCUAGUAACUGCGAGUGAAGCGGGAAAAGCUCAAAUUUAAAAUCUGAUAGUCUUAGGCUGUCCGAGUUGUAAUCUAGAGAAGUGUUAUCCGCGCUGGACCGUGUACAAGUCUCCUGGAAUGGAGCGUCAUAGAGGGUGAGAAUCCCGUCUUUGACACGGACUACCAGGGCUUUGUGAUGCGCUCUCAAAGAGUCGAGUUGUUUGGGAAUGCAGCUCAAAAUGGGUGGUAAAUUCCAUCUAAAGCUAAAUAUUGGCGAGAGACCGAUAGCGAACAAGUACCGUGAGGGAAAGAUGAAAAGAACUUUGGAAAGAGAGUUAAACAGUACGUGAAAUUGCUGAAAGGGAAACGCUUGAAGUCAGUCGCGUUGACCAGGGAUCAACCUUGCUCUUGCUGGGUGUACUUUCUGGUUAACGGGUCAACAUCAAUUUUGAUUGUUGGAAAAAGAUCAAGGGAAUGUAGCAUCUUCGGAUGUGUUAUAGCCUUUGGUUGUAUACAACAAUUGGGAUUGAGGAACUCAGCACGCCGAAAGGCCGGGUUUUUAACCACGUUCGUGCUUAGGAUGUUGGCAUAAUGGCUUUAAUCGACCCGUCUUGAAACACGGACCAAGGAGUCUAACAUGCCUGCGAGUGUUUGGGUGGAAAACCCGAGCGCGUAAUGAAAGUGAAAGUUGAGAUCCCUGUCGCGGGGAGCAUCGACGCCCGGACCAGAAAUUUAUGGACGGUUCCGCGGUAGAGCAUGUAUGUUGGGACCCGAAAGAUGGUGAACUAUGCCUGAAUAGGGUGAAGCCAGAGGAAACUCUGGUGGAGGCUCGUAGCGAUUCUGACGUGCAAAUCGAUCGUCAAAUUUGGGUAUAGGGGCGAAAGACUAAUCG
rnacentral:rRNA from 1 species